UACGAAGGGGACUAGCGUUGUUCGGAAUUACUGGGCGUAAAGCGCGCGUAGGCGGAUCGCUAAGUCAGGGGUGAAAUCCCAGGGCUCAACCCUGGAACUGCCUUUGAUACUGACGAUCUGGAGAUCGGGAGAGGUUGGUGGAAUUCCGAGUGUAGAGGUGAAAUUCGUAGAUAUUCGGAGGAACACCAGAAGCGAAGGCGGCCAACUGGCCCGAUACUGACGCUGAGGAGCGAAAGCGUGGGGAGCGAACAGG
rnacentral:rRNA from 1 species